rnacentral:sRNA from 1 species
CGAGAACCCGCUGGUUUAUUGCGACGGGCACGGCUGCAGCGUCGCGGUGCAUCAAGCUUGCUAUGGCAUUGUUCAAGUACCCACUGGACCAUGGUUUUGCAGGAAAUGUGAAUCUCAGGAGAGAGCAGCCAGAGUGGCUGGAGUGGAGUGGCGCAAUCAUUGCUCGCUGCAGCCUUGAAGUCCUGAGCUCAAGAGAUCCUCCUGCCGCAGCUUCCUGAGUAGCUGGGACUUACAGAGAUGUGAACUUUGUCCCCAUAAGGAUGGAGCUUUAAAAAGAACAGAUAAUGGGGGUUGGGCCCAUGUGGUUUGUGCCCUGUAUAUUCCAGAGGUACAAUUUGCCAAUG